CAUGGUAUAAGGCUGAAUAUGUUGAUGCGGUACCCAUGACAUCCAUGUCUCUAAGGCCAGUUGAUGAGUUUGGCUACCCUGGAAGGACAUACAAAUUCUUCAAUGGCUCAACAGUGUACCCAUUUGGCUAUGGACUAAGCUAUACGAAUUUCAGCUACAAGACAACACCCUCAAAGACUACGCUUAAGAUCAAAUUGAACAAGUACCAGCACUGCAACAACUUGAACUAUACCAAUUAUGAUGACAAGCCAUACUGCCCUGCUGUUUUGGUUGAGGACUUAAGUUGUGAACAUGAGUUCGGACUUGAGGCCACAGUUGAAAAUGCAGGGAAAAUGGAUGGAAGUGAAGUUGUAAUGGUCUACUCCAAGCCUCCAACGGCAAUUACUGGGACUCACGCCAAGCAAGUGAUUGGAUUUGAAAGGGUAUUUGUUCCAGCAGGAGGGAAAAAGAAUGUUAAGUUUACAUUUAAUGCUUGUAAGAGCUUAGCAAUUGUGGAUGGAAGAGGCAACAAAGUUUUGCCAUCUGGUUUGCACACAAUCAAGGUGGGAAAUGCUGAUGUCUCAUUUUUGGUUGAAGUGCAGUUUUAUCAGUAGUGGGUUAGCAUUUAUCUAAUUGGGGAUGGGCCUAGUAAUUAUUAGUUUAUUAUAUGUAUUAUGAGUUUAUUACAUG
rnacentral:misc_RNA from 1 species